rnacentral:lncRNA from 1 species
GCAUUUCUCAUGCUUGGAUUUUUCAUCUUUUAUUAGGCACAUCAAUUGUUAUCAUUUAAAACAGCAACAAGAUGCCUUUGCACCUGUGUAAAUCUGCUGGGUUUAACUGCAGAUCCAGGGAUGAGGCUGGGGAUGAAGCUCAAAUGGGAAAGUCUGAGUUGCCUGUGUCUGCAAUGAAAUUAUAAAUCCACAUCCCAGAGCAAAUGAGCAGUAGGAGGCAGACAGUAAUCUCCAUCAGCAGAAGUGCUGGGCUGUAGCAGGAAGGGUGGAAGUUGCAAGUGGCUCUGAUAAAACACCCAAGCUAGGAGAGCUGUUGGCAUUUCUCCUGGCAGCAUCUCUCACAAAAGGAGCAAAUUCAGGCAAGAACAUCUGAUAAGGGAGCCCACGACACUAAAUCAGCCUGGGUUUGAGAGCUGUGCCUUGCACCUUAAACCUCGUGUCUGUCCCUCAGUUUCCCCAUCCAUAAAAUGGAGGAUGUGCUGCCAAACCCUGCUUGAAAAACACGGUCAGAUGCAGAAAAUGUAACUGAAGAGCUCAGGUGAUGCUUGUCCACUGUCACGCAACAGAUCAAGGGCACUGAGCUCUGCACUUCAGCAGUCACACUCCCUAAGCACCUGGGCUGGAAAGGAGCAGCCUCAACCAAGCAUCCAAGCUGGAUAUGGAGCAACCGCGAUUCUGCGCUGGAAGGAAACCAGCCCUGAGGAGGCAAUUGGCCUCUGUCAUCCCCAAAGCCUAAUUAACCAAACCAUCCCCACUUGUGGGAGGCUUUAGUGGGAUCAGAGAGGAGCAUCCAGGGAGGUCGGGGGAGGAAUGUGCUGUCCCCACAUGGGAUGUGGGUGCUGGCAGGGUGCAGAGCUGAGCAUCUUCCCGGCUCUACCAGGGCUGCCCGGGGAAAAUGACCUCUCUGGUUCGCGAUCACUCGUGUGGAUGAAGCCUCCAGUGGGGAGAGGGAGACAGCGAGAGGAGUGGAGGCUGGCCGUGCCCGACGCUUUGCCAUGUAAACCUCCUCGGCCUCGCACACUGCAGCACAGACAGAUGUUGGCACAGCCCCGGACCUGCAGAACGGUGCAUGGGAGAAUGGUAGAG